UACGAAGGGGGCUAGCGUUACUCGGAUUGACUGGGCGUAAAGGGCGCGUAGGCGGCACUGUUAGUCAGGCGUGAAAGUCCUGGGCUCAACCUGGGAACUGCGCUUGAUACGGCAGAGCUAGAGGAUGGAAGAGGCUCGCGGAAUUCCCAGUGUAGAGGUGAAAUUCGUAGAUAUUGGGAAGAACACCGGUGGCGAAGGCGGCGAGCUGGUCCAUUACUGACGCUGAGGCGCGACAGCGUGGGGAGCAAACAGG
rnacentral:rRNA from 1 species